ensembl:lncRNA
AAAAAAAUACUUGACUUUAGUUGGUACUGGUGUAUUAUCUGUUCCCUAAUAUGUGACAAAAAGUUGUGAGAUAUAUUGAUGACACAGUUUACACACCAAGCAUCUGCAAAAAGACUUAACACUGUAAAAUAUCUGACUCAUCUUAAACUGUUUUCACCCAUGAAGCAGGUCAGAGACAUUUUUCACAGUUGUCCUUUUUGCAGAUGUGUAGAGAAGGCAGCACAUAAACCCACUCAGCAGCAGCAAAUGCACUGCAUUUCUGUAAACCAGGAUAACAUAUGGCUAUAAUGCCCGAUUUAAAUGACCUGAUAUAUACAUUUUCACAUGCACCUCUACUGGCUAAGAGUCCUAGAAAAGUUGCAGUGUUGCAGUGCAUGCUUGAACAUGGCUUGGACACAGAUGUGAUCUAAUGAAUGUGAAUGAAACUGUUUCCCCCUGGUUACACAAAUCUGGUCUAAAAAGUCCAACGUCAAUCAAACUACAAAUCAUGUAGCAUGUUACUAUAAAUGUAAAAAAUCAAGUGCAGCUCCAACUAUGGGAAAAUACAAAACAUCAAAAUAAGUAAACUGCACAAAAAGAACAAGAACACAAAAAACAAUGAAAAUGAAAACUAAACAAAAAAACAACAACUAAUGCUUACAUAAAACUUUAAUACUAAGCUGAAACCUAUAAAGAGCAUCAGCAGGGGUCAGCAGUCACAAAAAUACUGCUCUUUAAAGCAACAUUGAUCAGUUUUAUAACAAAGAACUGGAAAAAAAACUGUGCAAAUGUACACCCAACUCAGCCGCUCCCUUUGUAACAGAUUUCAGCCCAUUGUUUACCUGUUCCAUCCACAUAUUUAAUUUCUGGGGCAUUUUGGUAAAUGGCCUUUAUUUGUAUAGCGCUUUACCAUUCCUAAGGACCCCAAAGCGCUUUACACAUCCAGUCAUCCACCCAUUCACACACUGGUGAUGGCAAGCUACAUUGUAGCCACAGCCACCCUGGGGCGCACUGACAGAGGUGAGGCUGCCAGACACUGGCGCCACCGGGCCCUCUGACCACCACCAGUAGGCAAUGAGUGAAGUGUCUUGCCCAAGGACACAACGACCGGGACUGUCCGAGCCGGGGCUCAAACCAGCAACCUUCCGAUUACAAGGCCCAACUCCUGAGCCACAAUCGCUUUCAUCGCUUUCAUGUUGCCAUUUCUGGAAACAGAAGUUAGCUGUGUUCAGU